GGUGACCUCAGAUCAGGUAA
rnacentral:rRNA from 1 species